UACGUAGGGUGCAAGCGUUGUCCGGAAUUAUUGGGCGUAAAGAGCUCGUAGGCGGUUUGUCGCGUCUGCCGUGAAAGUCCGGGGCUCAACUCCGGAUCUGCGGUGGGUACGGGCAGACUAGAGUGAUGUAGGGGAGACUGGAAUUCCUGGUGUAGCGGUGAAAUGCGCAGAUAUCAGGAGGAACACCGGUGGCGAAGGCGGGUCUCUGGGCCGGAACUGACGCUGAGGAGCGAAAGCGUGGGGAGCGAACAGG
rnacentral:rRNA from 1 species